rnacentral:tRNA from 1 species
GUUUCUUGAGCUCAAUGGUCAGAGCAAGUGAAUUCUAAUCGAUUGAUGUGGGUUCAACUCCUGCAAGGACACCA